AAUGAAGUCCAUGCUUUAAUUCCACCCUAUCGCCAAGCCACGUGGACCCCUAACUGGGAGCUGCAGGAUUAUGACUAUUUAAUCCUCCUCUGUGCAUUUCCCCUUGCUUUUUUUCCUGCUUCCAAACCCCAACUCUGUCUCAUGUUUCUAUCGGCCAAGAGAGAGCCUUGGACCAGCCCACCAGCAAGCACAGUCCUCCUGGGGUACAGACCACAAUCUGCCCAUCACCCGGGUCGGUUGGGCUGAGACAUAUGAGCACAGCCUGGUGUUUUCAGCUGCUUCCUGAGCAGAAGGGCAGGAGGCAGGGCCUCCAAGCACAGGACUGGGAAAGUGGUGGCCCUGCUCGGGGUUCCUUGUCUUGCACACCUUCGUGCCUGGGAGUUACUCCGCUAAGGAGAGUUUUCUCUACAUUUAGCAAAAGCAGGGCGAGUGCCUAGGAAAGUUACACACAUUGGUCCCUCAGGUAACAGCCCUCCCCUUGGCCAGGGGGACCACUUAUCCAAGCAAAAUUAGUGGAUUUUUGCCUGAAUAUGACUUAAUCUGUAUGGCAGAAAGAAAGGAUUUCUCAGCUACUGGCACCUGGGCAGACUAUUCAGAUGGUUAAAUAUUGCAGUGUUUUAGAACUGGAAAAAUCCUACCGCCUCCCACGAAGGUAAGAAAACCAAUGUUGAAAGAAGUCAAAUGAGACACAGGGCAAGACCCAGUCUGCACACUGACUGGCGGCAGAAUAUGUUAGAACCAGAACUCCUGGUGCAGGCUUGUUGGCUUCUAUAGGAUGUGAAGUUGGUCCAGCUGGCCAGUUAUUUUAAGCCAUUGGCUUUUAAGUCUGGAGGUUGCGUGCAGUGGGUUGGAGAGGGGAGCCUGACCUGGAGAUGGAGGAAAAGUUCAAAGCCGUCUUCGUUUCUGUCAGCAGCCCUCUCUCCCUCCUCACCAAGUGAUCUCGGGAGGUGAAAUGAAAGUCAUGUCAGUUUAUACCCAGGAGAACCUGGAAACAAUAAAGGCUUAAAUUUAGACAAGAAAAACGAAAACGAAUGAUCAUCAAAAGAGGCACUCUUACGGUCAAUUUAAAAAAAAAUCCUACUGAGACACUAAAGUGAGAUUUGGGGAUUUUCUUUUCAUAGAAUUGUCGUGGUGUGAGGACUUGCAGAGACGUUUGUAUCCAAGCUUUUCUUGGGAGAUGAGGUCACUUUCUCACAAGUACUUUUAAAUAAACACACACACGCAGCUAUACAUAUAGGUACGUAUAUGUAGUUUAUUUUAAAGCCAUAGUAUUUCUUAUUUUUCUGUAUUUUGCCCUAGUUUCUGCUAAAGGCCACUAUGCAUUCACAUUUAAAUAUGGCUUCAGCUUCAAUUUAGCAUAACGUGUACCCCAAUUUAUUGGGUAUCAAGUGGUUAACAGAAAUGCCAUGAAUGCAUAUUCAAGGAGACCCUUUAGCUGCAUUAAGAAGAAAGUACCAGCUUUCCUGCUAACCUAGAAAUGUAAUUUUUAGUUCAUUCCUCAAUCAGGAGGUAACUUUUCAAAGCCCAACCUGAAAGCAUGAAAUGUAACCUUCCUAAAGGUGAGAAGAGACCCAAAUCACAGAUGAGGAACAAGAAUUCUUGUGGAAGUAGACUUAGCAGUUGUGAAGCUGCAGGAAGAUAAAGAAGCUUCUCUUAGGAUAAUAAAUACCUACAGGCUGGCAUUUUGUAAGAAAUGUCACUUAUAUAAAAUGUGGAGGUUGUUGGAUAUCAAUGUUAUGUUGAAACACAUUCCUACGUAAUUAUUUUAACUAAAGGCACCUGGUAAGGGCAAACUUGAGGCAGUUUUUUGUGUUGUCUCUUUUUUUUAAUUUUAAGAUAAAAUAAACUUUCAGGUAAUUGCUUCCUACCAUUUUGCUGUUUUGUUUUGGUUUUCCCUUAUACCAGCAGAAACAAAAGACAUCCAUCAUGAAGCAGAACUUUUUUGAAGUGGGACAACCAUGUGUGCCCUCCCUCAACCUUAAGGCAAGCAGACCGAUUCCCUCUUCCUCUAAAUUCUAGCAUUCUGACUCCACAGGAAAGUACAAUAGUCCAACAGAUCUACCAAUACUCUCUUGUUAUAAAAUGCUAGAGAGUUUCUGGAGACGGAGUUUAAAAAUUGCACAGGAGGCGAAGAACUUUCUAAAACAAAGAGGCUUGAGAUCCUAACCCUUUUCUGUUAAGGUUAGAGACUGUUAGAAUAUUUCUGAUGGACUGAAGUAGCUUCAAAUAAAUUGAGCAGUCCGUGAGGGACACCAGGGGCUAAGCCACUGGCGAGUCUCUGCAGGCUUCCUAGAGUCACCACCAAGGGUGGGGCAGCCCAUUGCAGACGCAGCACAGGAACGAUGGCAGAACCACAUGCAGCCCUCCUCCCACCACUACCCAGGGUCCUGAAGCUGAGGACACGUGGCUUGGGGAGCAUGGAUAUCUCAGGUAUGUUCAAAGAGCAGCCUAACAGUGGCUCAGACUGACUUUGGUAAAAGGAACAUUCUCCUCCCCCAAGGAAACACCACAAGAGUGAUGCACAUCAGACACCGUAACCCAUCCUGCCGCGGGCACAGAACCUUGAGGCUUCCUGCUCACCUGAUUCAAGGUGGUGUCUGCCUGAGCUUCUGCAGUCCUUCCGCAAGGACCACCCAAGUGCUCAGCUCAACUGAGUGUAGCAGCCACAUCAUAGAGAACAGCCUGGACCCUCCUGCAGGAUGAUCGGAUUUCAGAAUCCUCAGCAGUCCUUUGGGUUUAUAUUUUUCUCUUUGAGCUGUUGGUACCUACCCCUGAAUUGCUGGAUUGAGUCAGAACUUGUCCUUUUCACAGGAAGAAGAGAACUCUGGAAGAAAGAAAAAAAAAUAGUCUCUCCAUUUGCAGAUGGCAGACUGGUCAUAAUCUGGAGGUUAAGAGAGUUCCCUGAGUUUAUACACCAAACCAAUGAACUGGAUUAUACGGCAGCUACAUGAAGCUUAUCAUUCUGGAAGAUGGAAGGUGGUGAGCAGUGUAUAAAGGGGGAAGCCACUGGCCUGUGUGUGGAAAUUGAAGCAUGGAGGGAAGAGCCAGGUGCAAGGAGACCCAGGAAGGAAGAAAUGAUAACCUCUGGAUUCUCAGCUUUCAAAUCCCAGCAACUCAUUUGAUUCUCACAACAGAACCAACUACGAAGACGCUGGGACUAUAAAGGAAUGAAACAUCUCACUGGACUAGCGCCCAUGUUUCGUAGGACUGGGAGCAGGUGAGGAGCUCGAUAAUAGCCAGAAAAGGAGAGUUGUGGGCCAUUCCUUUAGACCAGUGGCUGCAGUCUGACCAUGUGAAGGUGAGUCUGCCUGGAGGAGUACGGUGUGAUCAUACACAGCAGAUUAUGAAGUAAGUCACAAGCCCCACCCGCCUCUAUUAUGCCUUGCUGCCACACCCCUUUAGGUUGCUGGCUCUGACCCGGAAAUCAUUUGAGUUUGUAACUCCAGAUUCAGAAAACAAUCAGAGCCAAGAAAAGAUUUGACAUAACAUCUGAUUGCUAACAGCUUAGAUUGGAAAAAGAUUUCAUUAUUGUGGAGCUUUUAAAAGAUUUAAGCAAAUAUAAUGUAGUUCUACAAAACAAGUAUCAGGUAGUUUCUCUGAGUCUCUCAACAUACAAUGGCCAAGAUAUGAAGUCUGAUUAUCAGACAGAGUAUAAGAAGUGGACUUCUGAAGAACAUUUGUGAAAACACACCAUUGGUUUUUCCAAACGUGUUCUUUGAUUUUAGGCCUCCUUCUUCUCUUGGAGUAAGACAAAUCUUUAAAAUAAAUGUUGGCAGAGACUGGAUAGCUUUUCUCCAGAUGUGCAUAAUACAGAUACUCUAUCAGACCAUCUACUUAGAUCAUGACCCCAGGAAAGUUCUUGAAUCUCUUUGAGUCUCAGUUUCUUCAUUCAUCAAGUAGAGAAAUAAUGCCCACCAGGCAGGGUUAUUUUAAGAACUCAAGAACUAAUGCUUAUCGAGUGCUUCCUAUGUUCCAGGCCCCAUACUAUGCGUUAUACAUGCACUAACUCAUUUAACCUCACACUAACCCAAGGGAUUAGGGACUGUUAUUACCACCCCAGUUCAUAGAUGUGGAAGCUCAGGUGUAGGGAACAUAGGAAGUUGCCCAGGUUAUACCUCGUGAGUGAGAGAGCCGGGCUCAAAGAGAGACAGCCUGAGCCUGAGACCCACACUCUUGAUCCCCAGCCCCAGUUCCUUGAACCUAUGAAGUGCUCAACUGUGGUUGUGCUCUCUCCUCUUGGACCUCUUCUUGACAUCUUCGUCUUCUAUUUCAUCAGAAAUUAUAUGGGAGAUGCUGCAACUCUAGAACAAUGUGAAAAUGUCCUAUGUGAUUUUUCCGUAAGUGCAAGACUUCUAAAUAUAUUGCAGUAUCAAUUCUUAAUAGUAUUUCAAAUGUUGAACCCAGAUCCAGUUACCUCUGUUCCUGUAUUCCUGUUCUGAUCAAAAAAUCAGAAUUGCAUUAAUUAUAUCACCAAUGGAGCAGAAUUGAUGUUUCAGCUGCAUAGGUCCAGACAAUUUGUUUACUUUUCCAGUAGACUGCCUCAUUUAUUCAGUCAAAUACAGAAAUACUCUCAUAAUAUAAUUUUAUAAAUAACAGAAAAUGUAUUCUUA